AGCGAACGCUGGCGGCAGGCCUAACACAUGCAAGUCGAACGGACCCUUCGGGGUUAGUGGCGGACGGGUGAGUAACACGUGGGAACGUGCCUUUUGGUUCGGAACAACUCAGGGAAACUUGAGCUAAUACCGAAUGUGCCCUUCGGGGGAAAGAUUUAUCGCCAUUAGAGCGGCCCGCGUCUGAUUAGCUUGUUGGUGAGGUAAUGGCUCACCAAGGCGACGAUCAGUAGCUGGUCUGAGAGGAUGAUCAGCCACAUUGGGACUGAGACACGGCCCAAACUCCUACGGGAGGCAGCAGUGGGGAAUCUUGCGCAAUGGGCGAAAGCCUGACGCAGCCAUGCCGCGUGAAUGAUGAAGGUCUUAGGGUUGUAAAGCUCUUUCAGUGGGGACGAUAAUGACGGUACCCACAGAAGAAGCCCCGGCUAACUUCGUGCCAGCCGCCGCUGUAAGAC
rnacentral:rRNA from 1 species